rnacentral:lncRNA from 1 species
AAGUGAUGAGGUAGUUAAGAGGAACAAAAUCAGCCAAACACUUUAGCCAGGGGCUGUCACCAACCCUGCCAGCCUGUUCACAGUAAUGGUUGCGAUAGCUACAAUGAGAUAAGCUGUGUUUUCUCCACGCAAAGCCAGAAUUGCAUUCCAGCUUCAAAGCUUUGCAAUAGUUCGACAUUCAACUCCAUUUGUGUUUCACGCCGCCCAAGUCUUAGAUUGCUUAGAGUGUUGUUUAUCUCCCAAAACCAUAUCCUAAAUUUUGAAACAUAAGCAGAGAACAAAUACACGAUUGUUUCCAAACCAAAGCUCCUAGCUCCAUCUCUUGCUUCGUGUCAGAAUGGAAGAUUAGCGCCAGCUUUCAAGGUGCCAUUGUCUUCCCGUACGCCAACAAUGGGGUAAUAAACCAGCCGCUGUGUUUUGUUCUGUCUCUGUAUGUAAAUGCUUUUGUAAGAGAUACUUUUUAACAUGCUUGGAGGAGUGCACAUGUGAACGUCUUGUCAGCAAGGAGACGCUUGUUUACUGAAGCAGGGCUUUGUUGAGAGAGCCAGCCAGCUGAUUCUACACCUCAGGCAUGUCUAACAGCAACAUCAGCAGAGAGGGAAGCUCUUCCUCUUUGAGUGUUUGUUCUUCUGAAUCCCUGUCGAGGCAGACGUCCAGGAACAGUCAGGUGGCAGAUAGUAGAUCUUUGGCCACAGCGCUGGUACAAUUGACUUCUGUAGCCUGGCCAACCACAAGGAGUUCAUUACAGUGGAACAUCUCAUCUUCUGUUGGAGAAAGGUGGCUGCUGAAGCUCCUGUAAUGUCUGCUGGGAUAGCCAUGUUUACCACCCUCAACCUCAGGCUGUUCCCCACUGAGAGCUUCAUGCCCAACAAGGGUGCAGCACACCGAAUCCUCCCCUGAAUCAGGAGCUCACGUAAACAACCUGCGGGCAGCACCUCCUCUCCCCAGACUGUACCCGGUUACUAAGAUUUUAUACUGCUCCAAUAAAGAGCACCUCAAGAUUUCUCCAGAAGUCCUUUUUAUUUCUUUUACAGGGACAUGUAACUGUAAACUCGUGUGUGUUUCCUUGCCUUUAUCAGAAAAUGGGGGUGUGCAGUUAAGCCAUCUCUAUACAGGUAUGUAUCAGGAUAUAUUGCAGUGACUGGAAUUAUUUGUAUCUAAAUCCAGAUCAAACAGAGUUCAAAAGUAAAACUGAAUGAAAAUAAUGUUUUUUUCUUCCAUUUAGUAAACAUGGCUUAUAUAAUUUGAAAUAAGUAAAUAAAUAAACUUUUCA